UACGAAGGGGGCUAGCGUUGUUCGGAAUUACUGGGCGUAAAGCGCACGUAGGCGGACCAGCAAGUUAGGGGUGAAAUCCCGGGGCUCAACCCCGGAACUGCCUUUAAAACUGUUGGUCUCGAGUCCGGAAGAGGUGAGUGGAAUUCCGAGUGUAGAGGUGAAAUUCGUAGAUAUUCGGAGGAACACCAGUGGCGAAGGCGGCUCACUGGUCCGGUACUGACGCUGAGGUGCGAAAGCGUGGGGAGCAAACAGG
rnacentral:rRNA from 1 species